CCCCACCCCGAUUUCUCAGGCUGGAAACCUGUACAUUUUCCUAUCCUGCUUCCGUUACAAAUCUGCGGGGACCAAUCACAAACUGGCCUAUCCACAUGGGGCGCUAUUGGCAGAUUUAACACGAUAGAGAAAAAACGGCGAGCAGC